GAUCAUGGCUCAGGAUGAACGUUGGCGGCGUGCCUAAUACAUGCAAGUCGAACGCUUCACUUCGGUGAAGAGUGGCGAACGGGUGAGUAAUACAUAAGUAACCUGGCAUCUACAGGGGGAUAACUGAUGGAAACGGCUGUUAAUACCGUAUAAGCGCACAGUACCGCAUGGUACAGUGUGAAAAACUCUGGUGGUAUGAGAUGGACCCGCGUCUGAUUAGCUAGUUGGCAGGGUAACG
rnacentral:rRNA from 1 species